rnacentral:lncRNA from 1 species
ACCUAAAAUGCCAGGGACAUGACCUUUCUAUAUAUAUAAUCUUUUUGAAGAGGAUAGGUGUUUUGAUGGGAGGAAAUGGAGAUAGGUGGGGCCGGAUUGCAACAAAAACAUAAAGCCACAUCCCAUAAAGUGAUGCUAUGAAUGAUGUAUAAAAUAUAGGUGACACGUUCAGGUUUGGGGGGAUUAAAUAAGUCGGACUGGAAGUCGAGUAUAAACAAAAAGGAGGAAUAUGUGGAGAUUUCAUAUGAUGUAUUUUUUUAAGUAGAUGAGAAUGGAGUCAGUAGCG